AGUGGCCCUAUUUUACAUUUAAGCCCCUGCCCCUGAGGAACUCUCUGCACGUCCCUGCAGCACAGAAGCUGUUUUUGAAACAUGCAGCCCUCAUUUUUAUUAAAUUAAAUCAUAGCUUUUGGAAGUUUAAUUGUCACACUAAACCAUAUCACAAUUCUAGUUUUACUUGAUGUUCUUGAUAUACAUUUGAUUAUGUUAGAAAAUAGCACUGGGCAUUUAUUUAUUUCAUUAUGUCAAAGGCUUCGUGGUCCAGGUUUGGACCGGAGUCUGUCAGUUAGUGACCCCUGCACUCACCUUAUGAAAUAACCGUCAUGCACGAUCUCUGCUACAGAUCAGAAUGAUUCAUAAAGUCAUGUGGCUUGUUGAGGAAAUGUAAAAGUAAUGUUUUAUAAUGAUUUUGUUCUUAUUGAUUAUUUGUGUUCUUCAGAUGCUGUUGCUGGAGUUGGUGAUGCAACUUAUGCUCAAUCUAUUAGGAAGAAGAAUAAAACAUAUGCUGUUGCUGAAGUUGAGGAUGCAACUUAUGCUCAACCUAUUAUGAAGAAGAAAAAAAAACGUCCCUGAGAAGACACAAGACGGCUAAAAGAGAUUCACAGCAGCAGACAGAGUAACGCUUGCAUUGCUUAAGAAAUGAUAAUGAAUGAACUGCUUAUGCACAUGCUUGAUUGAAAUACUUUAGAGAAAUGCACUGUAUUAUCUGUACACAUUUUAAUGUAUGUAAGCAAACAAAUAUCUAUAAUAAUUAGUACAAUAUUUUCUCCAGUGAGCACUUAUGUUUAAAGGUCCCGUUCUUCGUGAUCCCAUGUUUUAAACUUUAGUUAGUGUAUAAUAAUGUUGUUAGAGUAUAAAUAAUAUGUGUGAAAUUCUAAAGCUCAAUGCCAAGCGAGAUAUUUUAUUUAACAGAAUUCGCCUACAAAAAACGACCCGUUUGGACCACAGAGCUGGGUUUGUAUUUGUCGCAGGGGCGUAGCCAUCUUUUCAGAAGUGAGGGGGACAGAAAUUACACACACACAUACAUACAUUACAUAUCCAUAUAUAUAAAACAUUACAAUAUAAUGUUUCUAUCUAUAUAGCCUCAACAGUCAGUCAACAGUCAACAGUCAAUGAUAUCAGUCAACAGUUUUUGAACAGUAAGAUUGUUUUAUGUUUUUAAAGAAGUCUCUUCUGCUCACCAACCCUGCAUUUCUUUGAAAUAUUUUUACUAUAAAAAA